rnacentral:rRNA from 1 species
AUUGAACGCUGGCGGAAUGCUUUACACAUGCAAGUCGAACGGCAGCACGGACUUCGGUCUGGUGGCGAGUGGCGAACGGGUGAGUAAUGUAUCGGAACGUGCCCAGUCGUGGGGGAUAACGUAGUGAAAAUUACGCUAAUACCGCAUACGAUCUAUGGAUGAAAGCGGGGGAUCGCAAGACCUCGCGCGAUUGGAGCGGCCGAUAGCAGAUUAGGUAGUUGGUAGGGUAAAGGCCUACCCAGCCAACGAUCUGUAGCUGGUCUGAGCGGACGACCAGCCACCCUGGAACUGAGUCACGUUCCAGAGUCAUACGGCAGUCAGAAGUGGGUAAUUUUGAACGAUGGGCGAAAGAUUAAUCCGGCCAUUCCGCGUGCAGGAUGAAGUCCCUCGGGUUGUAAACUGCUUUUGUACAGAGCGAAAAGGUUUCUACUAAUACUAGGAGCUCAUGACGGUACUGUAAGAAUAAGCGCCGGCUAACUCCGUGCCAGCAGCCGCCGUAA